rnacentral:rRNA from 1 species
GACGAACGCUGGCGGCGUGGAUUAGGCAUGCAAGUCGAACGGUAGGAUACCUUCGGGUAUCUGAGAGUGGCGAACGGGUGAGUAACACGUAGGUGAUCUACCCUCAAGAUUGGGACAACCCAGGGAAACUUGGGCUAAUACCGGAUGAAAGCAGCAGUGAUGUUGUUUGAAAGGUGGCGUAAGCUGCCGUUUGGGGAUGAGCCUGCGCUCUAUUAGUUAGUUGGCGGGGUAAAGGCCCACCAAGGCGAUGAUAGAUAGGCGGCCUUAACGGGUGGUCGCCCACACUGGGAUUGAGAUACGGCCCAGACUCCUACGGGAGGCAGCAGUCGAGAAUAGUCUACAAUGGCCGAAAGGCUGAUAGUGCGACGCCGCGUGAACGAAGAAGCCCUUCGGGGUGUAAAGUUCUUUUAUAUGUGAGCAGUGCUUUCUAUGUGAACAGCAUGGGGAGAGAGAUAUUAGCAUAUGAAUAAGCAAACGGCUAAACUCCGUGCC